UACGUAGGGACCGAGCGUUGUCCGGAAUCAUUUGGGCGUAAAGGGCGUGUAGGCGGGACAGUAAGUCGGGCGUGAAAUCCCUGGGCUCAACCCAGGAACUGCACUCGAAACUACUAUUCUUGAGUGUCGGAGAGGAAAGCGGAAUUCCUGGUGUAGAGGUGAAAUUCGUAGAUAUCAGGAGGAACACCAGUGGCGAAGGCGGCUUUCUGGACGAUAACUGACGCUGAGACGCGAAAGCGUGGGGAGCAAACAGG
rnacentral:rRNA from 1 species